GACGAACGCUGGCGGCGUGCUUAACACAUGCAAGUCGAACGGAAAGGCCCUGCUUUUGUGGGGUGCUAGAGUGGCGAACGGGUGAGUAACACGUGAGUAACCUGCCCUUGACUUUGGGAUAACUUCAGGAAACUGGGGAUACUACCGGAUAGGAGCUCCUGCUGCAUGGUGGGGGUUGGAAAGUUUCGGCGGUUGUGGCUGGACUGGCGGCUUAUCAGCUUGUUGGUGGGGUAGUGGCUUACCAAGGCUUUGACUGGUAGCCGGCCUGAGAGGGUGACCGGCCACAUUGGUACUACGAUACGGCGCAGUCUCCUACGGGAGGCAGCAGUGGGGAAUAUUGCACAGUGGGCGGAAGCCUGAGGCAGCGACGCCGCGUGCGGGAUGACGGCCUUCUGGUUGUAAACCGCUUUCGCCUGUGACGAAGCGUGAGUGACGGUAAUGGGUGAAGGAGCACCGGCUAACUACGUG
rnacentral:rRNA from 1 species